AUCCUUUUGUAGUUCAUAGGUAUGAUGAUUGGGUUGAGAUGUGCCAUCCACAAACCUUGUUACGAUGUCGGCACAUUACCUGUCUGACA
rnacentral:snoRNA from 1 species